UAACAAUCUGGCUCCACUCUCCAUUUUUUUUCCCUCCCACACUCACUCUCCAAUUUUUUCCAAAGCAGAGGACCCUAACCCUCGAUGAGAGUGGCGAAGUCAUCUUCUCCUCCUCACGCCGUCUCCGUUCUCCAUCGUCGUUCACGCUAGCUGCUCGCCAUCACGCCGUCUCCGUUCUCCAUCGCCGUUCACGCUAGCUGCUCGCCGUCACGCCGUCUUCGUUCUCCAUCGCCGUUCUCACUGCAAGACCAUCCACAGUAGUUGCUGCUUUUCGGAGAAUACCUAAAUCUUUUUGGAAUGCAAAGGAACGGAGUAGAGUCACCACAAUAGGAGGCAGAAGCAACCUCACGGGGUUAUAAAUCAGAGGUUGCAGCUUACAUGGCCGCCUCAACAAUGACUUCUGUGGUUGCAGCAGGUGAGAGGGAAAGACAUGAAACAGCAAAGGACCUACAAUCACUUCAUUCCUCACCUUGGUUCAGACUCAGUGGCAUCUUGGCAUGCAAAUCUCUUCUUUGAACCCACCAAAUUUGAAGUAAGGACAAUUGUUCAUUUAUAGAGACAAUACAGUCUCAUUCAUUUGUUCUUGAAUGUGGCAGCCUCUGCUGCAGAGUACCAAGGAAAAGCUCUCACAGUUUGCCAUGUUCAAGUAAGUUAGUAGGUGAACUGAGCUUGGCUAUUUUCCAAGCAAGCAUUGUUUUAUUAUUGAUUGACAUUUUUUGUAUAUUUUUUCACGGGUUGAUAAUAUUCUGAAUAUCCAUGAUGUACCAAACAUUUGGCACAUUCCCCUUUUACCUAGAGUGAGUCUGUAAUAAAGUUUGGUUCCAUUAA